rnacentral:rRNA from 1 species
CCUACGGGAGGCAGCAGUGAGGAAUAUUGGUCAAUGGUCGGGAGACUGAACCAGCCAAGCCGCGUGAGGGAGGAAGGUACAGAGUAUCGUAAACCUCUUUUGUCAGGGAACAAAGGCGGGGAAGUGUCCCCGGAUGAGUGUACCUGAAGAAAAAGCAUCGGCUAACUCCGUGCCAGCAGCCGCGGUAAUACGGGGGAUGCGAGUGUUAUCCGGAUUUAUUGGGUUAAAAGGGUGCGCAGGCGGUCUGUUCAGUCAGCGGUCAAAGCCCGGGGCUCAACCCCGGCCCGCCGUGGAAACUGGGAGUCUCGAGUAGGGGAGAGGUAUGCGGAAUGCGCGGUGUAGCGGUGAAAUGCAGAGAUAUCGAGCAGAACUCCGAUUGCGAAGGCAGCAUGCCGGCUCCACACUGACGCUGAGGCACGAAAGCGUGGGUAUCGAAAAGGAUUAGAUACCCCGGUAGUC